AUACGAAGGGGGCUAGCGUUGCUCGGAAUUACUGGGCGUAAAGCGCACGUAGGCGGACCGAUAAGUCGGGGGUGAAAUCCUGGAGCUCAACUCCAGAACUGCCUUCGAAACUGCCGGUCUUGAGUUCGGGAGAGGUGAGUGGAACUGCGAGUGUAGAGGUGAAAUUCGUAGAUAUUCGGAGGAACACCAGUGGCGUAGGCGCCCAACUGGACUGGUAUUGACGCUGAGGCACGAAAGCGUGGGGAUC
rnacentral:rRNA from 1 species